GGAGCUGUGGUUUGGUGGUAGAAUGCUCCCCUAGCAUGCAUGAGGCCCUGGGUUCAAACCUCAGCACCUCCC
rnacentral:tRNA from 1 species